UACGUAGGUGGCAAGCGUUGUCCGGAUUUACUGGGCGUAAAGAGCGCGCAGGCGGUCGUUCAAGUCGCGUGUGAAAGCCCCCGGCUCAACUGGGGAGGGUCACGCGAUACUGAUCGACUCGAAGGCAGGAGAGGGUAGUGGAAUUCCCGGUGUAGUGGUGAAAUGCGCAGAUAACAGGAGGAACACCGGUGGCGAAGGCGGGUCUCUGGGCCGAUACUGACGCUGAGGAGCGAAAGCGUGGGGAGCGAACAGG
rnacentral:rRNA from 1 species